GAUGAACGCUGGCGGCGUGCCUAAUACAUGCAAGUCGAGCGAACAGACGAGGAGCUUGCUCCUCUGACGUUAGCGGCGGACGGGUGAGUAACACGUGGAUAACCUACCUAUAAGACUGGGAUAACUUCGGGAAACCGGAGCUAAUACCGGAUAAUAUAUUGAACCGCAUGGUUCAAUAGUGAAAGACGGUUUUGCUGUCACUUAUAGAUGGAUCCGCGCCGCAUUAGCUAGUUGGUAAGGUAACGGCUUACCAUGGCAACGAUGCGUAGCCGACCUGAGAGGGUGAUCGGCCACACUGGAACUGAGACACGGUCCAGACUCCUACGGGAGGCAGCAGUAGGGAAUCUUCCGCAAUGGGCGAAAGCUUGACGGAGCAACGCCGCGUGAGUGAUGAAGGUCUUCGGAUCGUAAAACUCUGUUAUUAGGGAAGAACAAAUGUGUAAGUAACUAUGCACGUCUUGACGGUACCUAAUCAGAAAGCCACGGCUAACUACGUG
rnacentral:rRNA from 1 species